GAUGAACGCUGGCGGCGUGCCUAACACAUGCAAGUCGAGCGAACAGAUGAGGAGCUUGCUCCUCUGACGUUAGCGGCGGACGGGUGAGUAACACGUGGAUAACCUACCUAUAAGACUGGGAUAACUUCGGGAAACCGGAGCUAAUACUGGAUAAUAUAUUGAACCGCAUGGUUCAAUAGUGAAAGACGGCUUUGCUGUCACUUAUAGAUGGAUCCGCGCCGCAUUAGCUAGUUGGUAAGGUAACGGCUUACCAAGGCAACGAUGCGUAGCCGACCUGAGAGGAUGAUCAGCCACACUGGAACUGAGACACGGUCCAGACUCCUACGGGAGGCAGCAGUAGGGAAUCUUCCGCAAUGGGCGAAAGCCUGACGGAGCAACGCCGCGUGAGUGAUGAAGGUCUUCGGAUCGUAAAGCUCUGUUAUUAGGGAAGAACAAAUGUGUAAGUAACUAUGCACGUCUUGACGGUACCUAAUCAGAAAGCCACGGCUAACUACGUG
rnacentral:rRNA from 1 species